GACGAACGCUGGCGGCGUGCCUAAUACAUGCAAGUCGAGCGAGCUGAACCAACAGAUUCACUUCGGUGAUGACGUUGGGAACGCGAGCGGCGGAUGGGUGAGUAACACGUGGGGAACCUGCCCCAUAGUCUGGGAUACCACUUGGAAACAGGUGCUAAUACCGGAUAAGAAAGCAGAUCGCAUGAUCAGCUUAUAAAAGGCGGCGUAAGCUGUCGCUAUGGGAUGGCCCCGCGGUGCAUUAGCUAGUUGGUAGGGUAACGGCCUACCAAGGCAAUGAUGCAUAGCCGAGUUGAGAGACUGAUCGGCCACAUUGGGACUGAGACACGGCCCAAACUCCUACGGGAGGCAGCAGUAGGGAAUCUUCCACAAUGGACGAAAGUCUGAUGGAGCAACGCCGCGUGAGUGAAGAAGGUUUUCGGAUCGUAAAGCUCUGUUGUUGGUGAAGAAGGAUAGAGGUAGUAACUGGCCUUUAUUUGACGGUAAUCAACCAGAAAGUCACGGCUAACUACGUGCC
rnacentral:rRNA from 1 species